AAAAUAAAAGAACAAAGUUCAGCCACGGACGUACGUGCAGCCACAUCCAUGGCUACACGGUGCGUUCGUGCGUAUCCGACUCGAGUGCAUCGACCCAAUCAGCACACCCGUGCUUCGUAGACAAGAGCACAACCACAUGAUCAGAUUUUUAUUACUACAAGAGCCAAUUUUAAGUGGAUAGCCUUGCCUCCUUGUGCCCCUGCCCUUGCCCAUGGCCCUACUGCCUCCCCUGUUGCUGCCGCUGCCCCCACUCCCACUGCUACCCCCUAUUACUGCCGCUGCCAUUGCCACUGCCUUGCCCCUGCUGAUUAGCUUAUUAGGGGAUUGGGGACAGAUGGUUUUUUAUUAAUAAAUUUGUGUAGGAGUUUGUUUGGGAUUGAUAUUUCUCAUAUUACUUGUUUGAGAUCACGUUAUGACUAAUAUGCUAUUAUGCUCACUGAAACAAUAUAGCUAUUGAGUUAUUUAUUUACC